rnacentral:rRNA from 1 species
GGUGAACGCUGGCGGCGUGCCUAAUACAUGCAAGUCGAGCGAACGGACGAGAAGCUUGCUUCUCUGAUGUUAGCGGCGGACGGGUGAGUAACACGUGGAUAACCUACCUAUAAGACUGGGAUAACUUCGGGAAACCGGAGCUAAUACCGGAUAAUAUUUUGAACCGCAUGGUUCAAAAGUGAAAGACGGUCUUGCUGUCACUUAUAGAUGGAUCCGCGCUGCAUUAGCUAGUUGGUAAGGUAACGGCUUACCAAGGCAACGAUGCAUAGCCGACCUGAGAGGGUGAUCGGCCACACUGGAACUGAGACACGGUCCAGACUCCUACGGGAGGCAGCAGUAGGGAAUCUUCCGCAAUGGGCGAAAGCCUGACGGAGCAACGCCGCGUGAGUGAUGAAGGUCUUCGGAUCGUAAAACUCUGUUAUUAGGGAAGAACAUAUGUGUAAGUAACUGUGCACAUCUUGACGGUACCUAAUCAGAAAGCCACGGCUAACUACGUGCCAGCAGCCGCGGUAAUACGUAGGUGGCAAGCGUUAUCCGGAAUUAUUGGGCGUAAAGCGCGCGUAGGCGGUUUUUUAAGUCUGAUGUGAAAGCCCACGGCUCAACCGUGGAGGGUCAUUGGAAACUGGAAAACUUGAGUGCAGAAGAGGAAAGUGGAAUUCCAUGUGUAGCGGUGAAAUGCGCAGAGAUAUGGAGGAACACCAGUGGCGAAGGCGACUUUCUGGUCUGUAACUGACGCUGAUGUGCGAAAGCGUGGGGAUCAAACAGGAUUAGAUACCCUGGUAGUCCACGCCGUAAACGAUGAGUGCUAAGUGUUAGGGGGUUUCCGCCCCUUAGUGCUGCAGCUAACGCAUUAAGCACUCCGCCUGGGGAGUACGACCGCAAGGUUGAAACUCAAAGGAAUUGACGGGGACCCGCACAAGCGGUGGAGCAUGUGGUUUAAUUCGAAGCAACGCGAAGAACCUUACCAAAUCUUGACAUCCUUUGACAACUCUAGAGAUAGAGCCUUCCCCUUCGGGGGGCAAAGUGACAGGUGGUGCAUGGUUGUCGUCAGCUCGUGUCGUGAGAUGUUGGGUUAAGUCCCGCAACGAGCGCAACCCUUAAGCUUAGUUGCCAUCAUUAAGUUGGGCACUCUAAGUUGACUGCCGGUGACAAACCGGAGGAAGGUGGGGAUGACGUCAAAUCAUCAUGCCCCUUAUGAUUUGGGCUACACACGUGCUACAAUGGACAAUACAAAGGGCAGCGAAACCGCGAGGUCAAGCAAAUCCCAUAAAGUUGUUCUCAGUUCGGAUUGUAGUCUGCAACUCGACUACAUGAAGCUGGAAUCGCUAGUAAUCGUAGAUCAGCAUGCUACGGUGAAUACGUUCCCGGGUCU